rnacentral:rRNA from 1 species
AUUGAACGCUGGCGGCAUGCUUUACACAUGCAAGUCGAACGGUAACAGGCCAUCGGGUGCUGACGAGGGGCGAAGGGGUGAGUAAUGCAUCGGAACGUACCCAGAGGUGGGGGUUAAUGCAGCGAAAGCUGUGCUAAUACAGCCUGUGACCUGAGGCUGAAAGCGGGGGAAAGCGCAGCAAUGUUUGGCCUUGCGCCUUUGGAGCGGCCGAUGUCGGAUUAGCUAGUUGGUGGGGUAAAGGCCUACCAAGGCGACGAUCCGUAGCUGGUCUGAGAGGACGACCAGCCACACUGGGACUGAGACACGGCCCAGACUCCUACGGGAGGCAGCAGUGGGGAAUUUUGGACAAUGGGCGCAAGCCUGAUCCAGCAAUGCCGCGUGCGGGAAGAAGGCCUUCGGGUUGUAAACCGCUUUUGGCAGGAACGAAACGGUGUCCGCUAAUACCGGGCGCUAAUGACGGUACCUGCAGAAUAAGCACCGGCUAACUACGUG